AACAAUUCCAGUGAACAAGACAAUACUAUAACUAGUCCAACUAAUGAUGAGCAAACCACGUUGCCAAAAACUGUAAAUGCUCCGAAAAAGAAAAGAGGUCCAACACAAGUGAAGAUGAUUCCUGAACAUAAUUAUCAGAAGAUAAAUCUAGAAUUCAAUGAAUAUGGCCAAGUUGUUGGGCAGAACUCGAAAAAAUUUUCUAGCGUAGUUGGGGCCAUGGUACGAGAACAUGUGCCUGUUGUAAUUAAAGAUUGGA
rnacentral:lncRNA from 1 species